rnacentral:rRNA from 1 species
GACGAAGGUGGCGACCGUUGUUCGGAAUCACUGGGCAUAAAGCGCACGUAGGCGGUGAAGUAAGUCGGGUGUGAAAUCCCUCGGCCUAACCGAGGAACUGCGCCCGAAACUACUUUGCUUGAGGGCAGGAGGGGAGCAUGGAAUUCCUGGUGGAGCGGUGAAAUGCGUUGAUAUCAGGAGGAACACCGGCGGCGAAGGCGAUGCUCUGGCCUGCUUCUGACGCUGAGGUGCGAAAGCCAGGGGAGCGAACGGGAUUAGAUACCCCUGUAGU